AUGUCAUUUCACCACCGCGACCACUGCAUGACCCAACGUCCACGCUUGCACCACCUCAACUAUAGAUACCUGGAGCCCUUCAUGAGACGUCCCAACUUCGUGCUCCAUUCCUCCUCACCACCACCAGGGUCUUUGGCUCCGGAAGGGAAAAAAGUUUGUAAGUGCAAGACCAUGCAGUGGAGGCCCGUGAAUUCAAGCUUACCGAGGCGGCUCAUUGGACAGCCGGUCGGACCUGCGUCCUGCGCUCGCCACAUUGCUCAGUGCUGUCUGGUGUGGUUGUGACGAGACGCCCACAAACGAGGCAUCCGGUGAGAGUUUGUACCGCACUGGGCUGUCCAGUUACUCUGUACAAAUAACUUCAAAACAUUCAUGUGCCCAACCCUUGUUUUGACAGGUCAUAACACCUCCCACGGGCUGCGUGGGCGUGCAGGAGAUCACAGGUGAGCAGUGAGUUGGUAAAGUGUACAAAGGUGCUGAGACUUAUGCUCAGGCAGGGGCCACGUGGACCGGCUUCGUGCAGCAUUACUUUGAACACGCAUGCACGUGUGAUGCAAUGCCAUGUCGAGAAUUCCUCUCAGGUUCUGCAAGUAUUCUUUGUAAGUGUGUAUGAAUCCUCCCAUCUCAGGCAUAUUAAUAAAUAUAUUACUAUGGGAUUUUUUAAUACAUAAUAUUGUCAUAAAUGUGUGUGGGGGAGAGAGGGGGCGUAAUCUCAGAGGGGCUGUCUCUCAUUCGGCUCUGACGCACAUUCAGUCUCUAAGAUGAUCGGGCGAAUCUUUGAUAUACUGCGUGUGUAUAGUUCCAAACUUUAAAAAAAAAAGGUCCAUCAGGUGGGGGCUGACGGUUCGAGUAAGGCUUUGGAUUGGUGUUUCUUAAAAAACAUUCACCUCCGAAAAUAAAUAUUUUAUAUAUAUUUCUACUGUGUGAAUUGGUACCAACCUGGUUUUUUGCUGAGGUAGGGUUUACUCUUUUUCUUAAGCAAAUGUUAACUCAGAUUUUUAAAAUAUUUUCAUAAAUGCCACCUCUUUUUUGCAGUACAAUCUGUAUAAAAACGUACACACACAUUUUCAUUUACAGCAUACAGACAUGAUAGAUAAAUAAAUAAAUACAUGUAAUCUGUAUGCAUGUAAGGUUUUUUUGCGUGUGUGCACGCACGCGUGCUGUCCAGGUUUGGUUCACAGGUUUUUCAGGCAAGAGUCUCUGGCGACUAUUGGCUGAAGCCAAAAGAAAAGCCAGUUGAAAGUGUUUGAAUGGUAAUAACAACAAUAAUCAACAUAAUAAUAUACUGCAGAACAAGUUUGCAGGCCUACGUACAGAGAUAAAUAGAUAAAUAGUUACCUAUCCAUAGUUAGAGUUAGUAGUCCAUUUAAGUUCUUGUUAUUUUUCUUUUUAAGUAAUCUAGUACUACAGCAGCAAUGGCGCCUGAAUGUUUUGGUGCCAAGAAAAGCGGAGGGAAGAUUUGGGGCAAGGGUCAAGUGUCCAUGUUGCCAUGGCGAUGGCAGUCCCUGUGAACCUUGAAGGCAGCUAAGAGGUCAAAGGACAUCGGCUGCAGCGCAUGGUCCAACUGUCGCCGUGGCGACCUCGUCACUCGGCUGCAGCCAAAGCCUACGCUCACAGGAGAAGGAGGGGGA
ensembl:lncRNA